GGGGCUGUGGCGCAGUUGGGAGCGCGCGUGACUGGCAGUCACGAGGUCGGGGGUUCGAAUCCCCUCAGCUCCA
rnacentral:tRNA from 1 species